AUUGAACGCUGGCGGCAUGCCUUACACAUGCAAGUCGAACGGUAACAGGUCUUCGGAUGCUGACGAGUGGCGCACGGGUGAGUAAUACAUCGGAACGUGCCCGAUCGUGGGGGAUAACGAGGCUAAAGCUUUGCUAAUACCGCAUACGAUCUACGGAUGAAAGCGGGGGAUCUUCGGACCUCGCGCGGACGGAGCGGCCGAUGGCAGAUUAGGUAGUUGGUGGGAUAAAAGCUUACCAAGCCGACGAUCUGUAGCUGGUCUGAGAGGAUGAUCAGCCACACUGGGACUGAGACACGGCCCAGACUCCUACGGGAGGCAGCAGUGGGGAAUUUUGGACAAUGGGCGAAAGCCUGAUCCAGCCAUGCCGCGUGCAGGAUGAAGGCCUUCGGGUUGUAAACUGCUUUUGUACGGAACGAAAAGCCUCUUUCUAAUAAAGAGGGGUCAUGACGGUACCGUAAGAAUAAGCACCGGCUAACUACGUG
rnacentral:rRNA from 1 species